rnacentral:rRNA from 1 species
GACGAACGCUGGCGGCGUGCUUAACACAUGCAAGUCGAACGGAAAGGCCCUGCUUGCAGGGUACUCGAGUGGCGAACGGGUGAGUAACACGUGGGUGAUCUGCCCUGCACUUCGGGAUAAGCCUGGGAAACUGGGUCUAAUACCGGAUAGGAGCCAUUUUUAGUGUGAUGGUUGGAAAGUUUUUUCGGUGUAGGAUGAGCUCGCAGCCUAUCAGCUUGUUGGUGGGGUAAUGGCCUACCAAGGCGGCGACGGGUAGCCGGCCUGAGAGGGUGGACGGCCACAUUGGGACUGAGAUACGGCCCAGACUCCUACGGGAGGCAGCAGUGGGGAAUAUUGCACAAUGGGCGCAAGCCUGAUGCAGCGACGCCGCGUGGGGGAUGACGGCCUUCGGGUUGUAAACUCCUUUCGCUAGGGACGAAGCUUUUGUGACGGUACCUAGAUAAGAAGCACCGGCUAACUACGUG